rnacentral:rRNA from 1 species
UACGUAGGGCGCGAGCGUUGUCCGGAAUUAUUGGGCGUAAAGAGCUCGUAGGUGGCUUGUUGCGUCUGCCGUGAAAGCCCGUGGCUUAACUACGGGUCUGCGGUGGAUACGGGCAGGCUAGAGGCUGGUAGGGGCAAGCGGAAUUCCUGGUGUAGCGGUGGAAUGCGCAGAUAUCAGGAGGAACACCGAUGGCGAAGGCAGGUCUCUGGGCCAUAACUGACGCUGAGGCGCGAAAGCGUGGGGAGCAAACAGG